GAGGCAAGAGUUGGACUCUUUGUCCUUAAGUCGAAUUUGCCCCGCAACGGUGCCUACGGAUUUCGGCAAUCGACUCCCAAGAUACAACGGCUACACUUGUGUUUGUAGCACUCCAAAACACAAGUACAACGAACCCAAUGUAGGCUUAUGUACUCCACAGAUGAAAUGAAAGAAAAUCAAAAUAAAUGAAAUGAUUUUGAUUUUGGAUAGAAGAGAGGAUGAAAGACGUUUUUGCAUAUCAAACUGUGAGGAAUAGGACACCCAAAGGGUCCUAUUUAUAGACCAUGAAGGGGUGUGGACGAAAUGGUUGAGACCAAACCAUGCACCAUUUCCAAACAAUGCACAUUUAUGAAAAGGUGUCUAUUCACUAAUGGUUGAGGUCUUUUUCGUAAUUUCUCAUUCAUCCGAUAUUGGUUUUCGAAAUGCCAAAUAUACCCUUCAAUACAUGCAGAGAAAUCAAAAUUCUCUUUCGGGGGCGUUGCCCCCGACCCCCCACGAGGGGCGCUGCC
rnacentral:lncRNA from 1 species